UGUGAGAACUUUUUGGGACUGCCCUUCCAUGGUCUUUUCUUUUAGAGAGGACCAUAAUUACUUUGAGUAAAUGAGAGUGUUCAAAGCAGGCAAGCGCUUGAAUCUUUUAGCAUGGAAUAAUAAAAUAGGACGAUGAUUCUAUUUUGUUGGUUUCUAGGACCAUCGUAAUGAUUAAUAGGGACGGUCGGGGGCAUUAGAAUUCAGUUGUAAGAGGUGAAAUUCUUAGAUUUUCUGAAGACUAACUACUGCGAAAGCAUUUGUCAAGGACGUUUUCAUUAAUCAAGAACGAAAGUUAGGGGAUCGAAGAUGAUCAGAUACCGUCGUAGUCUUAACCAUAAACUAUGCCGACUAGGGAUUGGGCGACGCCUCAUGAAUAUGACGCGCCCAGCACCUUACGAGAAAUCAAAGUUUUUGGGUUCUGGGGGGAGUAUGGUCGCAAGGCUGAAACUUAAAGGAAUUGACGGAAGGGCACCACCAGGAGUGGAGCCUGCGGCUUAAUUUGACUCAACACGGGGAAACUCACCAGGUCCAGACACAAUAAGGAUUGACAGAUUGAGAGCUCUUUCUUGAUUUUGUGGGUGGUGGUGCAUGGCCGUUCUUAGUUGGUGGAGUGAUUUGUCUGCUUAAUUGCGAUAACGAACGAGACCUUAGCUUUUAUUUGCGCAGCCUAACAAUUCUGUUGGGUUUGUGCCAUAAAAGGACUAUCGA
rnacentral:rRNA from 1 species